rnacentral:rRNA from 1 species
GGUUAAGUGACUAAGCGUACAUGGUGGAUGCCUUGGCAGUCAGAGGCGAUGAAGGACGUACUAACCUGCGAUAAGCCGUGAGCAGUCGGUAAGAGACAUUACGACUCACGGAUUUCCGAAUGGGGAAACCCACUUAGCAUAAGCUAGGUAUCGCUGCGUGAAUACAUAGCGUAGCGAGGCGAACCGGGAGAACUGAAACAUCUAAGUACCCCGAGGAAAAGAAAUCAACCGAGAUUCCCUCAGUAGCGGCGAGCGAACGGGGAUUAGCCCUUAAGCAUCUUGGAAGUUAGUGGAACGGUCCUGGAAAGGCCGGCGAUACAGGGUGAUAGCCCCGUACACGAAAACAACCUUGAUGUGAAAUCGAGUAGGGCGGGACACGUGACAUCCUGUCUGAAUAUGGGGGGACCAUCCUCCAAGGCUAAAUACUCCUGACUGACCGAUAGUGAACCAGUACCGUGAGGGAAAGGCGAAAAGAACCCCUGUGAGGGGAGUGAAAUAGAACCUGAAACCGUGUACGUACAAGCAGUGGGAGCCCUUCGGGGUGACUGCGUACCUUUUGUAUAAUGGGUCAGCGACUUACAUUUUGUAGCGAGGUUAACCGUAUAGGGGAGCCGUAGGGAAACCGAGUCUUAACUGGGCGUCUAGUUGCAAGGUGUAGACCCGAAACCGGGUGAUCUAGCCAUGGGCAGGUUGAAGGUUGAGUAACAUCAACUGGAGGACCGAACCCACUAACGUUGCAAAGUUAGGGGAUGACCUGUGGCUGGGGGUGAAAGGCCAAUCAAACUCGGAGAUAGCUGGUUCUCCCCGAAAGCUAUUUAGGUAGCGCCUCGGACGAAUACUACUGGGGGUAGAGCACUGUUUGGGCUAGGGGGUCAUCCCGACUUACCAACCCCAUGCAAACUCCGAAUACCAGUAAGUAAUAUCCGGGAGACACACGGCGGGUGCUAACGUCCGUCGUGAAGAGGGAAACAACCCAGACCGCCGGCUAAGGUCCCAAAGUUCUGGUUAAGUGGGAAACGAUGUGGGAAGGCUCAGACAGCUAGGAUGUUGGCUUAGAAGCAGCCAUCAUUUAAAGAAAGCGUAAUAGCUCACUAGUCGAGUCGGCCUGCGCGGAAGAUGUAACGGGGCUCAAACCAG